AACACUUAACACAUCAUGUGAUACAACAAUACAUGUUAUUGUUGUGAUGAGGGAAUUGUUGUUGUGAUUUUGGCGCAAUUUCUCUGCUCAGCCUUUUCUUAUUGUAGUUUGGAUCUUAAUUUGGGUAACCCGGUAAACCUACACGGAUCCUUGAUAUUCUUAUUCCCUAAUUUUAUUUCUUACGCUCUCUCCUUUACAAAAACCUAAAAACCAUUCUCCUCAUCAUGUUCUUCCGAUUAAACUCUACAUUGGAUCGAAACAAAGGAAUUAGCUUAUACUUUUUGGUGUAGCUAUCAGCAGGCGUUAGUUGUUGCCACGCUAUGCAGGUAUCGAACUAUAUAAUUUUUAUUAUCACUUUGAUUCACGGAUAAGUUUAAUGCAUUUGAGAUUUAGUAGAAAACAACAUUGAAAGAUACCAGGUAUGUAUAAGAGAUAAUAAGUAUGUGCUAAAGGUAUCAUUUUAGUGUUCGUAUCAUAUGUUGACCGUUAAAAGCUAGCCGAAUGAUCUUGAUCCGCUGUCGAACCGGGACUCAUUAGGCUGUAAAGUGAGGACCAAGGACCAGAUCACAUCUUUCGUCCUUCGCAUUUGUCAAGAUGGGUCGGAUCAGAUCGGAAACUGCUCGGGCUGUAGAAUGUAUGAGAGAGUAUGGAUAGAAGGUUUUGGGCUAUACAAUUAUUAUUUGCUAACAGUGACAGUUGGUGAUGUACAGUCCGCUCGCUGUUAUUGAAGUGUCUAAUGUUUCAAAGAUGUCGCCCAGUUACGCAUUAGUUUUAGUCAAAAGAUAAACUACUACUGAUAUUUAUAUUUGUCUUUGGAUCACUAAUAAUAAGUAGAUGGUUUAAAAUUUUAGACAGGUGAUUCAACUCACCAACCAGAAUCGACCAAUAUAAAAUAUUGGUUUUACUCCCAACCCGUUUUGACCCGCCCCUACUUCUUACCAUGUUCCAUGGUAGCCGAAGAAACAUGACCCAUUGCAACAGGUCCUAGAACAAGAAUGGUUCGGUCGUCACAUUCACCAAAGGAGGUCUGAGUCGAGAAUGGAAGUGUUACAUUCUUUGCAAUGGUCAUUCCCUUUUAAUGAUUUAGUUAAUAUAUUAAAGGUUCUGACUUUUGUGUUUCCUGGACAGUAUUUUCAUCUAGAUCAUAUGCCAUCCGCAGAGAAACAAACGUUUUAACUUAAAAAUGUUGUAUUUGAUUUGUGAGUUUUGGUUUGUUAUCUGUUGUUGUUGUUUUAUAUUUUGUGCAUUGGAUGUUAUUACUGUUCUCACGAUUAUUGAUGGAUAGCAGUGGGUCACAGUGAUGGUAUUGCUGAUGCAAUUUGUGCUUGAGUUAUUGAGGUAAUUGUGUUCUUCUUACUGAUGUGUUUCAUGCUUAAAAUAUUAUAUUAUAGUAGGUAUGGAUUUCAAAGUAUUUUACUUUUUACUUGUAUACCCUAAUACAUAAAAUACAAAUUCGGUUUCUGUUUGUGUACCAGAUGCACUAAUUUUAUUGUUUUUAGUAUUUGUUGUGUAAUUUUUAAUUACCAUAAUACAACAACGCAUGAUCUCAAGAUUAGGCGAACUUGAAAAGAAGGUUGAUACAUUCAAAACAACGCCAUCAAAGAUGCCUUACGAGAAAGAAGAAUUGCGAAAUGCUGCUGAUUGCCGUGUGGAUGCUUUAGAAGCUUAACUUAUUGACUUAAAUGAUCUUGACUAGAUGCAUAAAUGUCGAGAGUGCUCUGUAUGCUUUCCAAGUAAGAAGAGUUAGAGAAUUCUUUGAAUUAUUUGCAAAAGAUCACUCAGAAACUUCAAGAUUUGGUAUAUGCAAGAUUUUUUCCCCUUUUAAGUGCUUCAGUUCCUGCCGAAAUAGUUUUGAUGAGAAAGAGUUGAUUUUAAGUUUGCUACAAGAGUGCAAACUAUUCCUCUUGCUGAGUGGAAUCAUAAUGAUAUAGUCACCUUCUUCACUUCUUCAUGAGUGGAACGUUGAUUCCCCAUAUGUGAAUUUGAUAUAGUUACCUAAGAAUAUGGUUUUAUUCAAUUUGACUAAUGGUUUUUAUUCAUUACAUUCCAGUUAAGCCAUUAUCUUGUAUGUCCAACAUAUACGUUUAUAACUAUGAAUUUAUCAUGUAUAAUCAUCCCCGACUAAUGUUCU